GACCCAGAAGGGCCACUUAUGCUUUAUGUAUCCAAAAUGAUUCCAGCAUCAGACAAGGGUAGAUUCUUUGCUUUUGGUCGUGUGUUUGCUGGUAAGGUUUGUACUGGCAUGAAGGUCAGAAUCAUGGGUCCCAACUAUGUACCUGGUGAAAAGAAGGAUUUGUAUGUUAAGAAUGUGCAAAGAACUGUUAUUUGGAUGGGUAAGAAGCAAGAAACUGUUGAGGAUGUCCCCUGUGGUAACACUGUUGCUAUGGUCGGUCUGGAUCAAUUUAUUACCAAGAAUGCAACAUUGACCAAUGAGAAGGAAGUCGAGGCCCAUCCAAUCAGGGCAAUGAAGUUUUCUGUCUCACCAGUUGUGCGUGUUGCUGUUCAGUGCAAGCUUGCAUCUGAUCUUCCCAAGCUUGUUGAAGGGUUGAAGCGUCUGGCUAAGUCUGAUCCUAUGGUUCUUUGUUCUAUUGAAGAGUCUGGAGAGCAUAUCAUUGCUGGUGCUGGAGAACUCCACCUUGAGAUCUGCUUGAAGGACUUGCAGGAUGAUUUCAUGGGUGGUGCUGAGAUUAUAGUGUCUGAUCCUGUUGUGUCCUUCCGUGAGACUGUACUUGAGAAGUCUUGUCGGACUGUGAUGAGCAAGUCCCCUAACAAGCAUAACCGUUUGUACAUGGAAGCUAGACCCAUGGAGGAAGGGCUUGCUGAGGCUAUUGACGAUGGACGCAUUGGCCCUAGGGAUGAUCCCAAAGUUCGUUCCAAGAUCUUGUCUGAGGAGUUUGGUUGGGACAAGGAUCUUGCAAAGAAAAUUUGGUGCUUUGGUCCAGAGACAACUGGUCCCAACAUGGUGGUGGAUAUGUGUAAGGGAGUUCAGUACCUGAAUGAAAUUAAGGAUUCUGUUGUUGCUGGUUUCCAGUGGGCUUCCAAGGAAGGUGCAUUGGCUGAAGAGAACAUGAGAGGUAUUUGCUUUGAAGUCUGUGAUGUCGUUCUUCAUGCUGAUGCUAUUCACAGGGGUGGUGGCCAAGUUAUUCCCACUGCUAGGAGGGUUAUCUAUGCUUCUCAGCUUACUGCCAAGCCUCGCCUGUUGGAGCCGGUUUACCUUGUGGAGAUUCAGGCUCCAGAGCAAGCCCUUGGUGGCAUUUAUGGUGUUCUGAACCAGAAGCGUGGACAUGUGUUCGAGGAGAUGCAGAGGCCAGGGACCCCUCUUUACAACAUUAAGGCAUACCUUCCUGUCAUCGAGUCUUUUGGAUUCUCAGGUACCUUGAGGGCAGCUACUUCCGGUCAAGCUUUCCCAC
rnacentral:lncRNA from 1 species